ensembl:lncRNA
CUUGGUGGAAGCAAAAUGGAUUGAUCUCACAGAAGUGAGACUGCAUCUCACAGAAGUGCAGACUGAAUAGUGGUGACCAGAGGCUGGGUGGAGAGGCAGAUGGAGAAGUAUUGGCCAAAAGGUACAAAAUUACAGUGAUGGGGCCAGCGCUGUGGCAUAGUAGGUUAAGCCUCUGCCUGCGGCACCCACAUCCCACGUGGGCCCCGGUUUGAGUCACAGCUGUUCUACUUCAUAUUCAGCUCCCUGCAAACGUGCCUGGGAAAGCAGUAAAAGAUGGCCCAAGUGCUUGGGCCCCUGCACCUGUGUGGGAGACCCAGAAGAAGCUCUUGGCUCCUGGCUUUGGAUUGGCCCAGCCCUGGCUGUUGCAGCCAUUUGGGGAGUGAACCAGAGGAUGGAAGAGCGCACUCUGUCUGUAACUGUGCCUCUCAAAUAAGUAAAUACAUCUUUUUUUAAAAAAAUUACAGUGACACAGGAGAGCUAAUGUCUGUGUUAUAGCACAGCAGAGUGAUGAUAUUUAAUAGUAACUUACUGUACAUUUCAAAAGAGCUGGGAGAGAGGAUUUUGAAUGUUCUCAGCACAAAGAAGUGAUCAGUGUUUUAGGUGAUGGGUAUAUGAAUUGCCCCAAUUUGGUCAUUACACAUUGUGCCCGUGUAUCAAAAUGUCACCAUGCACCCCCCAUAAUAUGUACCAUGUUAAUGUGUCAGUUACAAAUCAAGAGUCCCCAUCUCGGGGGUGGGGGUGAGUCUUCAAGCUCACGAUAAAUCUUUCCUGGCCCCUGUUUCGCUCCUUUUUGGCCAACACAUCUUCUAUGUUGGUGGCAAUUACAGGACAGCGUGGUCCUCUGCUCAUCGUUGUGAGGUCUCGAUGAGAAGAAACGUUUGCUCCAGAAAUGUAGGAAAGGAACCGUUUCCUCCCAGAUUUGAAAACUUCCAAGUGUGAUACAGAAUAGUUUGAAAACUAGUUAGUCAUGCACAUUAGUUAAGAUGUUUUUUCCCCCUCUCCAAACAGCAGAGACCAGUUCUGGCUGGUUUCAUCUAAAGAAGAAUUUUUGGAAGAAAACUGGGCAAUUGGAAAAGAAAGCAUGGGUGUGUCUGCAGACCCCACAGUGGGUGAACUUGAGCCUCUCCCCAGUCUCCCCAGUUCUCCAGUUUUUCCCAACUUGGCAUUUGGACUGUCCCAUAAGGACAGCAAGCGUCUUGGCAGCUUUUCAGCCCAGGGCCCCGUGGAGUGAUGGAUGGAGAGGCAGAUUUCACGACUGAGUUCCUGGAGAGUUGGAGGCUGGCUCGGAGGGAGAUUCUGGAGUAUGAGGCGGGGAGCAAAGAGAUAAAAAUGGGCACUUUUCCAGUUCUGGAAAAACUGGAGGUUUGGAAAGCCAUCCCCUGCUGAGAGCCUGGCCUGGGGUCCUGGUCCCAGUUACUGCAAGGGGAAUUUGGGUUAGUCCUUCACCGCUCUCUCUUGAGAGCAAAAGGUUUUUUCAGGUCCUUGUUCUUUUCCAAUUUUUAUUUGGAAAGAAUUUCAAACUUACAGAUUUUUGAAAAAAAAAAAAAAACAAACACAAAGGAUGCCUGUUUAUUACUUCUUUAGCCGACUCGCUGUUAGCAUUGGGCCUCAUUCUCUGUAUCAUUCUCUCUGAAACAGUGUAUACACAUCACUGGUUCCUGAAUCGCUCGAGAGUAAUUUCCAUACCUAAUGUCCCUUCGCCCUGUCAUAAUUCGGCACGUACUUACUAAGAGCAAGGUCAUUCGCUCCCACAACCUCAUUAUAAGGACUGAAAUCGAGACACCGAAUAGGAUGGCGUGCUGGUAUUUAAUCCGUAG